rnacentral:lncRNA from 1 species
UAUGGAUUCAUUUACAUCCUGGUGCCUCUAUUUACCAGCCAGGUAACCUUGGGGGCACUAGUUAAUAUUCUGAACUACAGUUUCAGUUCAUGGGGAUUGAAUGUGGAAGCCAGAGAGGAUGUUAUCGCUGUUGUACUGGUGAACCCUCGGACUUCACAUCACACACUGAACCCAGGCAAAAUUGUUCCUCUGUGGUUCCUUGAAGAGGGGGCUAUCUGAGGACUGUAGGGUGAGCAGCAGGUCCAAAUAUCAACAGUUUCCGUGGAGUUCUGAGAAGUGAGUAUGGAAUUGAGAGUGUGAGAUCCUGGGGUCUAAAGGACAGUCAACAGCAAAUGCUGCCAGGAUGUGGGGCUAUCAGAAGCCUCUCGUGGCUGGAAGGAAUGGAAAAUGGUGCCACUACUUUGGGAAGCAGACUGGCAGUUUUGGGUUUUCUUGGUUUUGGUACUAGGGAUUGAAUUCAGGGGCACUCGACCACUGAGCCACAUCCCCAGCCCUAUUAUGUAUUUUAUUUAGAGGCAGGGUCUCACUGAGUUGCUUAGCACCUCGCCAUUGCUGAGGUUGGCUUUGAACCCACAGUCCUCCUGUCUCAGCCUCUCAAGCGGCUGGAAUUACAGGCAUGCACCACUACACCUGGCUCAGACUGGCAGUUUUUCAAAAUAUUGAAUACUAAACCCAAUAAAUGAAAUAUGGAAAUAUGAACUAAGUAAAUACAUAAAUAUACAAGAACACAAGAAGAGGGAAUUUCACUGGACCUUGAACUACAAGGCAUCUGAGGAACGGAACCCGCAAGGGAUGCCGAAAAGAAUGCACGAUUAGAUUGAAAAAAAGAUUGUGGACUGGGAUGCACAGGAGAGCCAAGAACAGGGUCCUGCUAAGGGCAGUGGGAGCAGCCAAAGGGUGCUUCCUACCCAAUGGGUGUGUGGAGAUGUAGGAGGGAUCUAGGGUUGACUGCUAGGGAAAUUACUUGGAGCGCUGACGCAGCAGCAGGCAGUACAUGGUCCCCCAUGGACACCCCAUUAUGACCCUGAGCAAGAGUGAUGGGGUUGUCAGUUCUCGUAGCAAAGAAUGUGGGAGGCACAGGGCAGUACCUGAGGUGACUGAGACCACCCAGGAGAAACUAGAGAACCUAAGCCCAAGAACCCAACUGCUAAGAUGCCUACCUGGUAGCAGGUCUUGCCUAUCCCCCAUUGCCUCUGAAAAUAGCAGGGAACAUAAUUCUUUCCUCUUCCCUCAAGCAUGCUCUGCAAACAAGGAAGGCCAACCAUAAAGAUGACUUUGCACAAGGAUCACUAAACCAUGGGAAAAAACCAAGCCCAUCAUCAGGCUGGGGUUGUGGCUCAGUGGUGCUCACCUAGCAUGCAUGAGGCACUGGGUUCCAUCCUCAGCACCACAUAAAUAUAAAAUAAAGAUAUUGUGCCCACCUAAAACUAAAAAAUAAAUGUUUUUUUUAAAAGGCCAUCAAAAGGAAAUCUUCCAAAGAUGGAAGAUUAUACUUGGGAGAAAUCACAGACUUUAUGACAAAAGCUAGCAAGCUGUUUAGGAAUCCUGCUUUGCUUUCUCCUCAGAAAUAGCCAGCCAGGACUUUCUCCAUAGGCAAAGAGUUAGGUAAGACCACCUGAGUGGGUUCCAGCCAGUAGAAUAUAUAAAACAUGGUACAUACCCCUCCAGCCAGGUAGGUCUGUAAAGGGCCCCCACCCCCGCUUCCAUCUGCUGGAUGCCG